rnacentral:lncRNA from 1 species
UUGUGCGUGGGAGAAUUGAGAAGAAAGAAUUUUUCUCUUGAUCUCUAUCAUAGAAAUCUGAUGCGUGGAAGAAAUCUGAUGCAUGGAAGAAAUCUGAUGCAUGGAUCUAGAAAGAAAAAGAGAGGAUCUCCUUAUUCUUCAUCUUCAUCAUGUUCCUCUUAGAUCAGCCAAAGCAUGAUGUCUUCGUGAGCUAGCACUCCUGG